UAAUUGGGUGCAAAUUAAUAUAAAUUGUUUUUUUUUAUUAUUUUUAUUAUUUAUUUAUCCUA
rnacentral:ribozyme from 1 species